UGACCCAUUGGGUGAAUAAACGUGGUUUGAGCUUUAAUAAUUGUCUGUGAGUUUUUACUCGGUUCAUUUAGAACCUAACAGUUGGUGCUGCGAGCAAUGUUCACCACGAUUUACAGUCGAACUACAGAGUCCGAAUCAGUGAAACAGGAACCUGAACCAGAAAUACGCUAAGUCCACUCCUGUUUCCUGAUUAAGAGGUGAUAACCACUACCAUUCUCAACUAUCUCCUGACAUGAACUGAAGCCACAUCUCAUGUGCCCACUCAUCCACCGGCACAUUGAACGUUUCCUCCCCAAGCAUUUCAAAUCCUGUCCUGCACUGGUCAAGCCUCUGAACACCUCAACUCAUGCCUCAUACCCUC